rnacentral:rRNA from 1 species
UGAGGAACAUGACCUUCGGCGGGGGAUAGCCGGCCCAACGGCCGGGUAAUACCGCGUACGACCACUCGGGGACAUCCCCAGGUGGUGAAAGCAGCAAUGCGCCGAUGGAGUGCCACGCGGCCUAUCAGCUAGUUGGUGAGGUAACGGCUCACCAAGGCGACGACGGGUAGCUGGUCUGAGAGGAUGGCCAGCCACAUUGGGACUGAGACACGGCCCAGACUCCGUACGGGAGCAG